rnacentral:lncRNA from 1 species
AGAUUUUCUCCACCAAAUGUCCGAGUUGAAACAGCUUGUUGAAGGCAGCAGCAGCAGUGGCAGCAGUGGCAGCGGCAGCAGCAGCACCGCCAACAAUGGCGAUGAUACCAUCGUUGAGGAGGACUCCUACCUGCAAAGGAUGUUUGAGGAAAUUCAGAAUGAUCUCAUCUACAUCAAAAAGGCCUGUGUGAAAUUUAAACAGUGGGAGGAAGAUCAAGUCAACGUUUCUAUGAAAGGUUUAGUUUUCCGGGCCUUGGAUGAUGCCUUUAAACAAAGAACAGGGUCACGAGAUCGUAGAGAAGAAACCAGUUAUAUUCGGGAUAAGCUAGUUAAAACUCACCACCUUGUCUCCAUGUUAAAGAAGUCUCUGCAUUCUUCUCCGCCACUCUCUUCAGGCAAUUUGAAAUCCCAGAGCCUACAACGUGCAAAAC